rnacentral:tmRNA from 1 species
CCCCUUGAAAUUGCGCGGGUGCAUGCCUAUAUCUGAGAUGUCUUCUUCGGGAGACUAUGGUGAUAAACGCGCAUGUAAUACACGGAUCGGACCCGGGGGCGGUACCCGGCGACUCCACCAAAACACCUGUCUUUGCAGGGGGUAUGGGGUCGAAAUAGGAUCGACGGACGUUUAAAGAUGUUUGCUUUUGCUCGGUGAGUUACCACCGUUAUCGGUACAUUUAAGCUAGUUGCAAAUGACAACAGAGCUCCAGUGGCCCUCGCAGCGUAAGCUGUGCGGAAUACUGAAAACUUAACUCCUAGGGUUUAGCGACCUUAGGCGGGGUUCGCAGGCACCUGGCAACAGAAGCCUGCACU